rnacentral:rRNA from 1 species
GCAUCGGUACGUACCUUUCAGUGGGGGGUAACGUAGCGAAAGUUACGCUAAUACCGCAUAUUCUGUGAGCAGGAAAGCAGGGGAUCGCAAGACGUUGCGCUGAUGGAGCGGCCGAUGUCAGAUUAGCUAGUUGGUGGGGUAAAGGCUCACCAAGGCGACGAUCUGUAGCGGGUCUUAGAGGAUGAUCCGCCACACUGGAACUGAGACACGGUCCAGACUCCUACGGGAGGCAGCAGUGGGGAAUUUUGGACAAUGGGCGCAAGCCUGAUCCAGCCAUGCCGCGUGAGUGAAGAAGGCCUUCGGGUUGUAAAGCUCUUUCGGCCGGGAAAAAAUCGCUUGGGUUAAUACCCUGAGUGGAUGAUGGUACCGGAAUAAGAAGCACCGGCUAACUACGUGCCAGCAGCCGCGGUAAUACGUAGGGUGCGAGCGUUAAUCGGAAUUGCUGGGCGUAAAGCGUGCGCAGGCGGUUUUGUAAGACAGGCGUGAAAUCCCCGGGCUCAACCUGGGAACUGCGUUUGUGACUGCAAGGCUAGAGUAUGGCAGAGGGGGGUGGAAUUCCACGUGUAGCAGUGAAAUGCGUAGAGAUGUGGAGGAACACCAAUGGCGAAGGCAGCCCCCUGGGCCAAUACUGACGCUCAUGCACGAAAGCGUGGGGAGCAAACAGGAUUAGAUACCCUGGUAGUCCACGCCCUAAACGAUGUCAACUAGGUGUUGGGUGGGUAAAACCAUUUGGUACCGUAGCUAACGCGUGAAGUUGACCGCCUGGGGAGUACGGCCGCAAGGUUAAAACUCAAAGGAAUUGACGGGGACCCGCACAAGCGGUGGAUGAUGUGGAUUAAUUCGAUGCAACGCGAAAAACCUUACCUACCCUUGACAUGCCAGGAACUUGCCAGAGAUGGCUUGGUGCCCGAAAGGGAGCCUGGACACAGGUGCUGCAUGGCUGUCGUCAGCUCGUGUCGUGAGAUGUUGGGUUAAGUCCCGCAACGAGCGCAACCCUUGUCGUUAAUUGCCAUCAUUUAGUUGGGCACUUUAACGAGACUGCCGGUGACAAACCGGGGGAAGGUGGGGAUGACGUCAAGUCCUCAUGGCCCUUAUGGGUAGGGCUUCACACGUCAUACAAUGGUCGGUACAAAGGGUUGCCAAGCCGCGAGGCGGAGCCAAUCCCAGAAAGCCGAUCGUAGUCCGGAUCGCAGGCGGCAACUCGCCUGCGUGAAGUCGGAAUCGCUAGUAAUCGUGGAUCAGCAUGUCACGGUGAAUACGUUCCCGGGUCUUGUACACACCGCCCGUCACACCAUGGGAGCGGGUUCCGCCAGAAGUAGGUAGCCUAACCGCAAGGAGGGCGCUUACCACGGCGGGGUUCGUGACUGGGGUGAAGUCGAAACAAGGUA